rnacentral:rRNA from 1 species
UAACAAGGAUUCCCCUAGUAACUGCGAGUGAAGCGGGAUGAGCUCAAAUUUAAAAUCUGGCGGUCUCUGGCCGUCCGAGUUGUAGUCUGGAGAAGCGUUUUCCGCGUCGGACCGUGUACAAGUCUCCUGGAAUGGAGCGUCAUAGAGGGUGAGAAUCCCGUCCAUGGCACGGACAGCCGAUGCUCUGUGAUACGCUCUCGAAGAGUCGAGUUGUUUGGGAAUGCAGCUCAAAAUGGGUGGUAAAUUCCAUCUAAAGCUAAAUAUUGGCGAGAGACCGAUAGCGAACAAGUACCGUGAGGGAAAGAUGAAAAGCACUUUGAAAAGAGAGUUAAACAGUACGUGAAAUUGUUGAAAGGGAAACGCUUGAAGUCAGUCGCGUCUCGUAGAACUCAGCCUGGUUUCGGCCUGGUGUACUUUCUAUGUGGACGGGUCAACAUCAAUUUUGGCCGGUGGACAAAGGUGAAGGGAAUGUAGCGUUGCUUCGGUGACGUGUUAUAGCCCUUUGCUGUAUACACUGGCUGGGAUUGAGGACUGCAGCGCGCCUUAUUGGCCGGGGGUUCGCCCUACGUACCGCGCUUAGGAUGUUGGCAUAAUGGCUUUAAGCGACCCGUCUUGAAACACGGACCAAGGAGUCUAACAUGUUUGCGAGUGUUCGGGUGGAAAACCCUUGCGCGUAAUGAAAGUGAAAGUUGGGAUCCUCCGCAAGGGGGUGCACCGACGCCCGGCCCUGAAGUUCUCUGACGGUGCUGCGGUAGAGCAAGUAUGUUGGGACCCGAAAGAUGGUGAACUAUGCCUGAAUAGGGCGAAGCCAGAGGAAACUCUGGUGGAGGCUCGUAGCGAUUCUGACGUGCAAAUCGAUCGUCAAAUUUGGG